GUUCCUGUAGCGCAAUGGACAGCGCGUUGGACUUCUAAUUCAGGAGUCAUGGGUUCGAAUCCCAACCGGAAUG